AAUGCUUAGGAAUCUGCCUAUUAGUGGGGGACAACAUUCCGAAAGGAAUGCUAAUACCGCAUACGCCCUACGGGGGAAAGCAGGGGAUCUUCGGACCUUGCGCUAAUAGAUGAGCCUAAGUCAGAUUAGCUAGUUGGUGGGGUAAAGGCCUACCAAGGCGACGAUCUGUAGCGGGUCUGAGAGGAUGAUCCGCCACACUGGGACUGAGACACGGCCCAGACUCCUACGGGAGGCAGCAGUGGGGAAUAUUGGACAAUGGGCGGAAGCCUGAUCCAGCCAUGCCGCGUGUGUGAAGAAGGCCUUUUGGUUGUAAAGCACUUUAAGCGAGGAGGAGGCUACUUGGAUUAAUACUCUAGGAUAGUGGACGUUACUCGCAGAAUAAGCACCGGCUAACUCUGUGCCAGCAGCCGCGGUAAUACAGAGGGUGCGAGCGUUAAUCGGAUUUACUGGGCGUAAAGCGUGCGUAGGCGGCUUCUUAAGUCGGAUGUGAAAUCCCUGAGCUUAACUUAGGAAUUGCAUUCGAUACUGGGAAGCUAGAGUAUGGGAGAGGAUGGUAGAAUUCCAGGUGUAGCGGUGAAAUGCGUAGAGAUCUGGAGG
rnacentral:rRNA from 1 species